rnacentral:rRNA from 1 species
GACGAACGCUGGCUGCGUGCUUAACACAUGCAAGUCGAACGCUGAAGCCCUGGUGCUUGCACCGGGGUGGAUGAGUGGCGAACGGGUGAGUAACACGUGAGUAACCUGCCCCCGACUUCGGGAUAAGCCCGGGAAACUGGGUCUAAUACCGGAUAUGACCAUGACUCGCAUGAGUGAUGGUGGAAAGUUUUUUCGGUUGGGGAUGGGCUCGCGGCCUAUCAGUUUGUUGGUGAGGUAAUGGCUCACCAAGACGACGACGGGUAGCCGGCCUGAGAGGGCGACCGGCCACACUGGGACUGAGACACGGCCCAGACUCCUACGGGAGGCAGCAGUGGGGAAUAUUGCACAAUGGGGGAAACCCUGAUGCAGCGACGCAGCGUGCGGGAUGACGGCCUUCGGGUUGUAAACCGCUUUCAGCAGGGAAGAAGCCUUUCGGGGUGACGGUA